rnacentral:rRNA from 1 species
GACGAACGCUGGCGGCGUGCUUAACACAUGCAAGUCGAGCGGUAAGGCCCUUUCGGGGGUACACGAGCGGCGAACGGGUGAGUAACACGUGGGUGACCUGCCCUCAGCUCUGGGAUAAGCCUGGGAAACCGGGUCUAAUACUGGAUAUGACUCCAUGACGCAUGUUGUGGGGUGGAAAGCCUUGUGCGGCUGAGGAUGGGCCCGCGGCCUAUCAGCUUGUUGGUGGGGUGAUGGCCUACCAAGGCGACGACGGGUAGCCGGCCUGAGAGGGCGACCGGCCACACUGGGACUGAGACACGGCCCAGACUCCUACGGGAGGCAGCAGUGGGGAAUCUUGGACAAUGGGCGCAAGCCUGAUCCAGCGAUGCCGCGUGUGUGAAGAAGGCCUGGCGGGUUGUAAAGCACUUUCAGUAGGGAAAGAAAAGCCGAGUGCUAAUAUCACUCGGUCUUGACGUUACUU